rnacentral:misc_RNA from 1 species
GCAAACUUGGUCAUUUAGAGGAAGUAAAAGUCGUAACAAGGUUUCCGUAGGUGAACCUGCGGAAGGAUCAUUACAGAGUUCAUGCCCUCACGGGUAGACCUCCCACCCUUGUGUUAUCAUACUAUGUUGCUUUGGCGGGCCGCGAGGCUCACGCUUCGCCCUGGGCUCUCGGGCCUGGGUGUGCCCGCCAGAGGAAACCUAAAUUCUGAAUGUUAGUGUCGUCUGAGUACUAUACAAUAGUUAAAACUUUCAACAACGGAUCUCUUGGUUCUGGCAUCGAUGAAGAACGCAGC